UACGUAGGGCGCAAGCGUUGUCCGGAAUUAUUGGGCGUAAAGAGCUCGUAGGCGGCUUGUCACGUCGGGUGUGAAAGCCCGGGGCUUAACCCCGGGUCUGCAGUCGAUACGGGCAGGCUAGAGUGUGGUAGGGGAGAUCGGAAUUCCUGGUGUAGCGGUGAAAUGCGCAGAUAUCAGGAGGAACACCAACGGCGAAGGCAGCUCGCUGGGACGGUACUGACGCUGAGACGCGAAAGCGUGGGUAGCAAACAGG
rnacentral:rRNA from 1 species